GAUGAACGCUGGCGGCGUGCCUAAUACAUGCAAGUCGAGCGAACAGACGAGGAGCUUGCUCCUCUGACGUUAGCGGCGGACGGGUGAGUAACACGUGGAUAACCUACCUAUAAGACUGGGAUAACUUCGGGAAACCGGAGCUAAUACCGGAUAAUAUAUUGAACCGCAUGGUUCAAUAGUGAAAGACGGUUUUGCUGUCACUUAUAGAUGGAUCCGCGCCGCAUUAGCUAGUUGGUAAGGUAACGGCUUACCAAGGCAACGAUGCGUAGCCGACCUGAGAGGGUGACCGGCCACACUGGAACUGAGACACGGUCCAGCCUCCUACGGGAGGCAGCAGUAGGGAAUCUUCCGCAAUGGGCGAAAGCCUGACGGAGCAACGCCGCGUGAGUGAUGCAGGUCUUCGGAUCGUAAAACUCUGUUAUUAGGGAAGAACACAUGUGUAAGUAACUAUGCACGUCUUGACGGUACCUAAUCAGAAAGCCACGGCUAACUACGUG
rnacentral:rRNA from 1 species